UACGAAGGAUCCUAGCGUUGUCCGGAUUUACUGGGUUUAAAGGGCGCGUAGGCGGUCUUUUAAGUCAGUGGUGAAAGCCUGCAGCUUAACUGUAGAAUUGCCAUUGAAACUGAUUGUCUCGAGUGCGGUUGAGGUCACUGGAAUGUAUCAUGUAGCGGUGAAAUGCUUAGAUAUGAUACAGAACACCAAUUGCGAAGGCAGGUGACUAAGCCGUAACUGACGCUGAGGCUCGAAAGCGUGGGGAUCAAACAGG
rnacentral:rRNA from 1 species